rnacentral:rRNA from 1 species
UGCGCGGCGAAAAACCUUCCACACAGUGUUUUUUGUUAUUACAAGAACUUUUGCUUUGGUCUGGACUAGAAAUAGUUUGGGCCAGAGGUUUACUGAACUAAACUUCAAUAUUUAUAUUGAAUUGUUAUUUAUUUAUUUGUCAAUUUGUUGAUUAAAUUCAAAAAAUCUUCAAAACUUUCAACAACGGAUCUCUUGGUUCUCGCAUCGAUGAAGAACGCAGCGAAAUGCGAUAAGUAAUAUGAAUUGCAGAUUUUCGUGAAUCAUCGAAUCUUUGAACGCACAUUGCGCCCUCUGGUAUUCCAGAGGGCAUGCCUGUUUGAGCGUCAUUUCUCUCUCAAACCUUCGGGUUUGGUAUUGAGUGAUACUCUUAGUCGAACUAGGCGUUUGCUUGAAAUGUAUUGGCAUGAGUGGUACUGGAUAGUGCUAUAUGACUUUCAAUGUAUUAGGUUUAUCCAACUCGUUGAAUAGUUUAAUGGUAUAUUUCUCGGUAUUCUAGGCUCGGCCUUACAAUAUAACAAACAAGUUUGACCUCAAAUCAGGUAGGAUUACCCGCUGAACUUAAGCAUAUCA